rnacentral:rRNA from 1 species
GACGAACGCUGGCGGCGUGCUUAACACAUGCAAGUCGUACGGUAAGGCCCUUUCGGGGGUACACGAGUGGCGAACGGGUGAGUAACACGUGAGUAACCUGCCCACAACUUUGGGAUAACGCUAGGAAACUGGUGCUAAUACUGGAUAUGUGCUCCUGCUGCAUGGUGGGGGUUGGAAAGCUCCGGCGGUUGUGGAUGGACUCGCGGCCUAUCAGCUUGUUGGUGGGGUAGUGGCCUACCAAGGCGGCGACGGGUAGCCGGCCUGAGGGGGUGACCGGCCACAUUGGGACUGGGAUACGGCCCAGACUCCUACGGGGGGCAGCAGUGGGGAAUAUUGCACAAUGGGCGCAAGCCUGAUGCAGCAACGCCGCGGGCGGGAUAACGGCCUUCGGGUUGUAAACCGCUUUCAGCAGGGACGAAGCUUUUUGUGACGGUACCUGCAGAAGAAGCACCGGCUAACUACGUG